AUUGAACGCUGGCGGCAGGCCUAACACAUGCAAGUCGCACGAGUGGCGGACGGGUGAGUAAUGUCUGGGAAACUGCCUGAUGGAGGGGGAUAACUACUGGAAACGGUAGCUAAUACCGCAUACCAUCGGGUGUGCCCAGAUGGGAUUAGCUAGUAGGUGGGGUAACGGCUCACCUAGGCGACGCUCCCUCGCUGGGCUGAAAGGAUGACCAGCCACACUGGAACGGAGACACGGUCCAGACUCCUACGGGAGGCAGCAGUGGGGAAUAUUGCACAAUGGGCGCAAGCCUGAUGCAGCCAUGCCGCGGGUAUGAAGAAGGCCUUCGGUUUGUAAAGUACGUUCAGCGGGGAGGCGUUACCCGCAGAAGAAGCACCGGCUAACUCCGUGCCAGCAGCCGCGGUAAUAC
rnacentral:rRNA from 1 species